GACGAACGCUGGCGGCGUGCUUAACACAUGCAAGUCGAACGAAGAGCGACGGAAGCUUGCUUCUAUCAAUCUUAGUGGCGAACGGGUGAGUAACGCGUAAUCAACCUGCCCUUCAGAGGGGGACAACAGUUGGAAACGACUGCUAAUACCGCAUACGAUCUAAUCUCGGCAUCGAGGAUGGAUGAAAGGUGGCCUCUACAUGUAAGCUAUCACUGAAGGAGGGGAUUGCGUCUGAUUAGCUAGUUGGAGGGGUAACGGCCCACCAAGGUGAUGAUCAGUAGCCGUUCUGAGAGGAUGACCGGCCACAUUGGGACUGAGACACGGCCCAGACUCCUACGGGAGGCAGCAGUGGGGAAUCUUCCGCAAUGGACGAAAGUCUGACGGAGCAACGCCGCGUGAGUGAUGACGGCCUUCGGGUUGUAAAGCUCUGUUAAUCGGGACGAAAGGCCUUCUUGCGAAUAGUGAGAAGGAUUGACGGUACCGGAAUAGAAAGCCACGGCUAACUACGU
rnacentral:rRNA from 1 species